rnacentral:rRNA from 1 species
GAUGAACGCUGGCGGCGUGCCUAAUACAUGCAAGUCGAGCGAACGGACGAGAAGCUUGCUUCUCUGAUGUUAGCGGCGGACGGGUGAGUAACACGUGGAUAACCUACCUAUAAGACUGGGAUCACUUCGGGAAACCGGAGCUAAUACCGGAUAAUAUUUUGAACCGCAUGGUUCAAAAGUGAAAGACGGUCUUGCUGUCACUUAUAGAUGGAUCCGCGCUGCAUUAGCUAGUUGGUAAGGUAACGGCUUACCAAGGCAACGAUGCAUAGCCGACCUGAGAGGGUGAUCGGCCACACUGGAACUGAGACACGGUCCAGACUCCUACGGGAGGCAGCAGUAGGGAAGCUUCCGCAAUGGGCGAAAGCCUGACGGAGCAACGCCGCGUGAGUGAUGAAGGUCUUCGGAUCGUAAAACUCUGUUAUUAGGGAAGAACAUAUGUGUAAGUAACUGUGCACAUCUUGACGGUACCUAAUCAGAAAGCCACGGCUAACUACGUG